GUAGGUGGCAAGCGUUGUCCGGAAUUAUUGGGCGUAAAGCGCGCGCAGGCGGUUCUUUAAGUCUGAUGUGAAAGCCCACGGCUCAACCGUGGAGGGUCAUUGGAAACUGGAGAACUUGAGUACAGAAGAGGAAAGCGGAAUUCCACGUGUAGCGGUGAAAUGCGUAGAGAUGUGGAGGAACACCAGUGGCGAAGGCGGCUUUCUGGUCUGUAACUGACGCUGAGGCGCGAAAGCGUGGGGAGCAAACAGGGAUUAGAUACCCUGGUAGUCCACGCCGUAAACGAUGAGUGCUAAGUGUUAGGGGGGGUUUUCCGCCCCCCUUAGUGCUGCAGCUAACGCAUUAAGCACUCCGCCUGGGGAGUACGGCCGCAAGGCUG
rnacentral:rRNA from 1 species